GGAAAGUUGUCUGAGUGGUUGAAGGAGCACGAUUGGAAAUCGUGUGUAUGUUAACGCAUACCGGGGGUUCGAAUCCCCCACUUUCCG
rnacentral:tRNA from 3 species